GAAGGGUGCAAGCGUUAAUCGGAAUUACUGGGCGUAAAGCGUGCGUAGGCGGUUUCUUAAGUCCGUUGUGAAAGCCCUGGGCUCAACCUGGGAACUGCGAUGGAUACUGAGGAGCUGGAGUACGGUAGAGGAAGGUGGAAUUCCCGGUGUAGCGGUGAAAUGCGUAGAGAUCGGGAGGAACAUCAGUGGCGAAGGCGGCCUUCUGGACCAGUACUGACGCUGAGGCACGAAAGCGUGGGGAGCAAACAGGAUUAGAUACCCUGGUAGUCCACGCCCUAAACGAUGCGGACUGGACGUUGGGAGCAACUUGGCUCUCAGUGUCGAAGCUAACGCGUUAAGUCCGCCGCCUGGGGAGUACGCUCGCAAGAGUG
rnacentral:rRNA from 1 species